ACACUGGAUAUUUGACUAGAAUUCAACCUUUUGUUCAUACAAAAAGUGGUUGUCCAGACUCUAUUCAAUUUUGCAGCCUGACUUGUCAUAUGACAUCAACGGAUAACCUUUGUUAAGCAUGUAUCCGCUAAAUUCAAUUGUUACUGAUAGCACACAUUUUGGUUUCUUCAUAGGUCAAUAACCUUGCAGCCUACAACAACAACAUCCCUCCAAGGAAAAUGAUACCCAUUUAAAUGGUUAUAGUAAAGAGCAGAUGCUCUGAACUAUACGUUCAGACCCCAGUCCUACCUACCGACAUACCUACAGCCUCAGUCCACCAUAAAGUCAGUACAGGGGAGUACCAGGCAGUCAGUGGUGUGGCACACCAAGACCUUUGAACAGCCAAGAACCACCCAAUAACACAAACAACCCACUAGAUGUGCUCAUCCACCUCCCUCAUCCACCCCUGCAACGAAAUGAUCAAACUUGGAACAGGACUUUCCUCAGAUGGCUGGCUGUUCAUGUUUUCCUCUUCACCAGGGAAUCCAUCUAUAACGGCACAAGAUACCUACAGAAAACUUCCCCCACCGGUGGCACUCGCACUGAACACACCCACCAACUGUUUGUGAGUGCUCCGUAGCCAGAAGGGUCUGGGGCCUGUUUGCUCCCUCUGUCUUCCAGCCUCCAGCCUUGCCACCACAUCGAUCCUCCUCCAACACCAGCACAGGCCGAUGGACAUACGGGGCGGCAGGGUAGCCUAGUGGUUAGCGCGUUGGACUAGUAACCGGAAGGUUGCAAGUUCAAACCCCCGAGCUGACAAGCCUCUCACAGAACCAGAACCAUUCAUCAUCACACCGGAUAUGGCGCAGAGGUGGGACCAAACACCAGACCUUCACCUGGAGUAAGCAGGCCACAGGGAAGUACCCCCAUUGACCUCUGUCUCCCUGGUGUCUCUACUUGCUUCUCAGGUUGUCUUAAUUUAAUGCAUUCAUUCGUUUUUAUAUAUUUUUUCUUGUUGGUUUUUCUUUUGAUUUGAUGAGAUUAAGUUGGAUUGAUUACUUAUUGUUUGAAUUGUUUGUUUUAGAAUUGUAACCAAAUUGAUUUGAAAUUGUAACGAAUUUUGGAACAACCAAAUAAAUUGACCUACCUUCAGGUUAUGGAAAAUGUGCUCUUUGUAUUU